GCUCUGAGGUAGCUAAGAGAAGGUGAUGUUGU
rnacentral:piRNA from 1 species